GUUGAGAAUAUAAAUGGUUUGGAAGGAGUUCAAAUUCAUACCUACACGUUUUUUUACCAUAAAAACAAAUAUAAAAUUAUUUUUAAACAGCUGUAAAGUUUUCUGUUAAGAACCAGCAGUGAAUGGUCAACUGUAUUCAUCUACUUUUUGUUAUAACUAGGGCAGAGGACUUGUAGCAUUUGCAUAAUUGUUUUGCACAGUCACGAAAAUAGCAGAGUACAAAACGAAUACGUUUCAUGCUUUAAAAAAGCUAGUUUUGAAAUUUUAUUUCGCAUAUAAAUGCAUAUUUUGAGUCCUUUUCGUUUAUAGUGCAUAUUUUACACUUUUAUCCGUCAUUUUAUAUUUUUUGAGACAUAUUUAACUUACAUCAAUAUUUGCCACACCGAUGUUUUAAUUACAAACAAUCAGUCAAAAUGUUUGGAAUGUCCACGGGCACACGUUUUUCCUAGAAGCGCUUGGUUUGACGAUCGGCGAUAAGGCAAUAAUAUUAAUUUGCUGGAAUUAUUUUUAUCUAGGUAGAUGGUCGUUUACGAUUAUUUACGUAUACGUUUAUUCGAUUAGGAUUUUUAUUUAUAAAACGUUUCUAGAAACGACAAUAAUCAAUAUUUUAAUAUUUAAUCUCAGUCAGUUCUGCGGAAUGUACAUUCGUAUUGUGCCGACUUAUUAGCCGUAUUAUAAAUUUNAUAUAAUUGUUUUGACUUGUUUUAAAAGCUAUUUAUUUUAUAAAUACUUUAAAAAAAAAAAUUUUAGGUGCAUAUUAUGGGGUUUUUAAGUGCAUAAGUGCUUGCAUAUUUAUUGCUUUUUUAGAGCUACAAGUCCUCUGCCCUAGUUAUAACCUACAUAUUAAUCUAUAUUAAUAUUUGGCUUCCUUAUAAAAAUUGUCGAAAAAGUGAAAUGCAGCAAUACUAUUUAUAUGAAUGUAUUAAGUAGGGUUUGCAUUUGUGUAAUAUAAUUAUUGAUUGUAUUUAUGUAAUAUUUAAAUAGCCCUAAGUCUGUAUAAAAUAAGAAGGGAAAUUUAAAUUGCUUUUUAAGUAAUCUAGGAACACAGUUAUGUUUGAUACCCACUAGAAAAUAUUUUUGUUACAAAUGUUAAGAACCAAACAAGUAACAACUUGAUUAUGACAAAAUAAAUUUAUUUUGUGAUGCUGUCUGUAAAGUGUUUGUUACAUUACACUAUUAAUUAUGAUGAAUAACAUCUCAAACAACGUAUCCUGUUCCUUGCGAGUUAAUAGCAGAAGUGCAGUACUCUAUAUACUUUAUUUACUAUUAUUCAUCAUUUAAUGAAACUGUCUGUUAGUAAUU